UACGGGGGGAGCAAGCGUUGUUCGGAUUUACUGGGCGUAAAGGGCGCGUAGGCGGUCAGCACAAGUCAGUUGUGAAAUCUCCGGGCUUAACCCGGAAAGGUCAACUGAUACUGUGCGACUAGAGUACGGAAGGGGCAACUGGAAUUCUUGGUGUAGCGGUGAAAUGCGUAGAUAUCAAGAGGAACACCUGAGGUGAAGACGGGUUGCUGGGCUGACACUGACGUGAGGCGCGAAAGCCAGGGGAGCAAACGGG
rnacentral:rRNA from 1 species